UCCGAGUUGUCCCUGGUAGUCCUAGCUGUAAACGGUGCUCACUUGCUGUGGACGGAAUCGACCCCGUCCGUGGCGAAGCUAACGCGUUAAGUGAGCCGCCUGGGGAGUACGGUCGCAAGAUUAAAACUCAAAGAAAUUGACGGGGGCCUGCACAAGCGGUGGAGUAUGUGGCUUAAUUCGAUGCAACGCGAAGAACCUUACCUGGGCUUGACAUGCAGGGGAAAGUCCUGAGAAACCAGGACCCCUCUUCGGAGUCCCUGCACAGGUGCUGCAUGGCUGUCGUCAGCUCGUGUCGUGAGAUGUUGGGUUAAGUCCCGCAACGAGCGCAACCCCCGCUCCCAGUUGCCAGCGCGUCAUGGCGGGGACUCUGGGAGGACUGCCGGUGCCAAACCGGAGGAAG
rnacentral:misc_RNA from 1 species